CUCCCAACUUGAAAACUCUUUAAAAUCACCACUAAAAACCAUGCACAUUACCCCGACAUAUCACCUCUAUAGCAAAAACAUGUAACUCCCCCUCAACUAGAUCUGGUCUUUCUGGAUAAGAAACAUAAGAUAUUAAACAGCUGAAGAACGUUCCAAUAAUAGAGAUAUCGAAACCCAGCUCGUAUUAUAAAGACUUAAAUCUUUCUUAUCCAGACCUCAAAACCCAUCAGACUCUCAAGGUAAUCCUAAACCCUAAAAUUCACACAUUCUUUCCCAAUUAUUCAUUAUUCAUUAUUCAUCAUUUAUCAAAAGUCAACACUCACAUAGAAAAGAAGUCAAAUCUCAUAGCAAGCCUGUCAACUGAGAAAUGAACCGAUCGAUUCUCCCAUUUUGCUGGUUGCUAAUGAUGAUCUAUUACUAUACACUUCAUCAGUUUUGAAGAGCAUUAAAUGAAAUCUAAGUCACUAAAUGCAACAACAACAAAAAAAUCAAAUCUGCGAUUGCUAUCCAGAAUUCAAAUUAAAAUUCAACCGAAACGUAAUAAGGAUCAAAAACCCUAGAGUAUCAACCAAAUACACUCACCUGCACACAGAUGCUCCCACUAGCAACUCCAACGAAACUUCACCGAUCAAAUAAUUAACCAGAACGAAGAAAACGGCAGAUUGGAUUACUGGCGAUAGUAUAGACUUCCAGAUCUAAAAGACACUGUGUAGAUGAGUUUCUAGCAGUGACGAUGAAGGCUUCCUAAUUUCUUUUUUUUUUUUUUUACAAAUUUUUUAAUUAGAAUAAUGAUUUUGUUUCGGGAGAAUCAAAAGACAAGUGACCGUGAUUUCGACACGUGGCUACUCAAUCAAAAGGUUAAACGGGCUGAGUUUAAUAUCAGAACUUGUGGACGAGAGCGCAAGCGUGAGAUCCUAUCAGUUCCUGUGUUACCAUUGGUACACGUCAUUGGUAUGUUCUCGAAACUGGACUCGUGCUCUCCGCUUAUUGGCUGAAAUUUAAUUCUG
rnacentral:lncRNA from 1 species